rnacentral:rRNA from 1 species
UGGGGAAUAUUGGACAAUGGGGGCAACCCUGAUCCAGCCAUGCCGCGUGUGUGAAGAAGGCCUUUUGGUUGUAAAGCACUUUAAGCAGGGAGGAGAGGCUAAUGGUUAAUACCCAUUAGAUUAGACGUUACCUGCAGAAUAAGCACCGGCUAACCCUGUGCCAGCAGCCGCGGUAAUACAGAGGGUGCGAGCGUUAAUCGGAAUUACUGGGCGUAAAGCGAGUGUAGGUGGCUCAUUAAGUCACAUGUGAAAUCCCCGGGCUUAACCUGGGAACUGCAUGUGAUACUGGUGGUGCUAGAAUAUGUGAGAGGGAAGUAGAAUUCCAGGUGUAGCGGUGAAAUGCGUAGAGAUCUGGAGGAAUACCGAUGGCGAAGGCAGCUUCCUGGCAUAAUAUUGACACUGAGAUUCGAAAGCGUGGGUAGCAAAACAGGAUUAGAUACCCUGGUAGUCCACGCCGUAAACGAUGUCUACUAGCCGUUGGGGUCCUUGAGACUUUAGUGGCGCAGUUAACGCGAUAAGUAGACCGCCU